rnacentral:rRNA from 1 species
GGGGGACGAACAGUUGGAAACGAACUGCUAAUACCGCAUACGAUCUAGUCUCGGCAUCGAGGAUAGAUGAAAGGUGGCCUCUACAUGUAAGCUAUCACUGAAGGAGGGGAGUUGCGUCUGAUUAGCUAGUUGGAGGGGUAACGGCCCACCAAGGCGAUGAUCAGUAGCCGGUCUGAGAGGAUGAACGGCCACAUUGGGACUGAGACACGGCCCAGACUCCUACGGGAGGCAGCAUG